GGUUGUAAACAUAUUUGGCUUCCAGUAAAAUGUUAUGAUUUCUUUCGGUAUAAGUCCACUUUCAAGACUAUAGUGCAUCUACUGUGUGUAUGACCAAGAAUAGUACCAUGAACAAAACAGAAGCAGGUGAGAGAUAAACAGACCAUAAUGCAGCAGCCUAAUAACCACAGCAGCCGGUCUCCUAAGGACAAGAGCCUGGAGACUGUGGAGGCUACCCACUCAGCACCCUGGAAUAAACCACAACUCCUCAACAGCAAGGUGGGUUCAGUUUCCAACCAGUAAACAACUAGCCAUUCCAUGUUUAUGCCAGGGACCUUGUCCCAAAUUGUUGAAUCGCCUAUUUAACUUUCUGCAUAUAGAUUUUGAAUCUUGGAUGCUGGGCAUGAUGGCUGAGCCUAC